ensembl:lncRNA
CUCCUGUGUCUCCUGCAUUGCAGGCAGAUGCUUUACCACUGAACCACCAGGGAAGCCCACAUUGAGGGGUAUCCCUUCUUAACAGGCAAGAUUUAAUGAUGACACCUGCAGCAUCAGCUGUGAGAUUUCUUUGUGAGCGGGCAGUUAGGAUUUAUUGCAAGACUAUUGGAAUUAGGGAGGUAACUAAAAAGGUAAAUGACCUUGUAAGGAGACGGGGGUGGUGUCUGUAUUCCCGGCUAUCUGUGUUCCCAGGGCCAGGUAAACCAUCCUGUCCAGAUCAGGAGACGGUGUCCUGGAGACUCAAUCCCAGGAAGCAGAUGGGAGGGGAAAGAAGGGAAAGGGUGCUUUUCAACGACAAAGUUCAGUUGGCUAAGACAGCGCUUCUCUGAGUCUCUCUAGAAAUGCAGACACCAAACAGCGAGCAAGGAGGAAAAGCCUGAUUUCCAGAGGGCGCGCAGUGUCCCCAGUAAUGAAGCCUGACGAGAGGUCUCCUGCUUGCCCAGAGCCGGCUGUUGUCCUAAAAAUGCAAACCAUCGCCUCGGGCCAUGCAAUCGGGAACAGGCAGAGGACAGAGGCUCCGGCUGGGCGCCCCACUGCUCGCCCUCCCUUCAGCACUCCCGACUUGGACGUAGAAAGCUGGUCUUUACCCUUGUACAUAAGGACACAAGAAAGGGAUUUUUUUUUUAAGGUGUCCCAGAGGCCGAUGGUUUUAAUCCUGACUUUAUUUUAUUUUUUUUUUUUGCUGAGCAGAUACUAAAGCCGGGGGAGGUGGGGAUUGCCUACUACCAAUCCUCGAGUCCUCGUGUGUUUUCUCAUGCAAAAUAAGCCCUUUGAACUUGAAAGCUGCAUUUGCGCCUGGCUCCCCAGUGCCUCUCUCCCCUGCGCCUGCAUCCUCUUUGUUUUCUCUAGAGUGUAGGCGAGUCCAUCGCAUCCUCCCUCGGCCAGCCUUUUAUUUUAUUUUUUUAAAAGGCUGGCUCGUUAAUAAUCGAUGGGCCGGGCAGACCCCUCGCCCCACCUCAGAAACCCUGGCCUGGAGGGUGACCCCUCAGGAGGCCGGAGACUGCACCGAUAUCCACAUACGCGCUGGAAGCAGGCCGGGCCUGGAGCAUCUCUGCCUGGGCCCCUUGGCCUGGCAGGUGGAUUCCUCCCUUUCUGCAGUGUUGGUUGGUUUGUGGCUUGUUUUUGUUUUGAACUCUUGCCUUCAGGGCUUCCCUGCUGGUCCUGAGGCUGCAGAGGCAUCCUUGACCCUGGAGGACCGUGUCUGGGAAGGCUCUCAUCCCCUGCCUCUGAGGGUCUUUGUUGUUCACCACUCACAUUGCAAAAAUCCCCCCUCCUCCUCCCCCUCAUCAACCUCCUUGGAAGCAAAC